GGCUCUUCCUUUCCCUCCACCAUUCGUUUCUCUGUUUUUAAGGCUUUUGCUCUUUCGUUCUUCACGGGAGCACAUGGGUCCCACUGAGAAAGAAACUAUUCUGUCUCCUGGUCACCGCUCCCAUAAAUAAAGCUCCCAGAGAUGGGUCCCGAAGAGAUCGGCACAACUGAAGCACAGAAAGAGGCUUCCACCGAUGGAGUAAAAGCCCACAAUUAAACAAGUGCAGGUGUAAUUAUUCGUGAAUGCAAUUUUUUCCGGCAACAAAUACUUGUGGCUAAAGAACUGCCUGCAUUGUGAAAGGGAGCCCUGAGCAAUGCCAAAUCACAGAGGAGACAGCUAGGAGUCCUGCUCAGGUCUUGUGAGUACCUUACAGACAGCACGGAAGAGUUACAGAUAAAAGGCACAGACUCGGAAGGAUGCAAAUGACUGCGUUCUGCUUGAAAUAUGAAGAGCUAGCCAGACCGGAACGGAGCCCUGCACCUGGCCUCAGAAGACACAGCUGGUCUCUCCUGGUUGAUACUGUUGCAUCGUCCUCUGCCUUCCGUCAUCCUUUAAAUAUGCCCUCACUUUGACCCAGAGUGGCUGUGUCUUUC